rnacentral:lncRNA from 1 species
GAAGCAUGAGAAACCCUAAUAGACUCAAAUCCUGUUCCGAUCUUCUGAUCCGCUUUCAGCAACCCCAUUAGGGUUUUUCCUUAGGAAAACCUGAGAAAGGGUUAGUUAUCUUCUUCUCUUUGAUUUUGGCUCACAUAUUUGUUUCAAGAUUUACUUUCUCUCUCUAGCUAUGCCUUGCUUGUUCAAUUACAUGCUUCUUGUUUAUAGUGUUUUCUCAUGUUUUCGGUUGUUGUGUUCUUUCUUUCUUUUCUGUGUCAUCGUAUGUGGAGAAUCUUACUUGUAGGAGAGAGAUAAUGUUAGGGUUUUAAGUGACAGAAUUUCUCUGUCUGAACGCGGUUGGUGCUUUUGAGAUCCCUCCAAAUGCCUUGGUGAGAGAGCUGUAACAGCCUUUUCAUAAUUUUUUUCAUGUAUUGUUAAUGUCAAAUUUAAGUCUCAUAUGCAUUUCUUGGUUUUCAUGAUCUGAUCUAUUCAUAUCUAUUCAGUUCUCUGGUUGAAUGUUUUUCCAUCAAUUGGGAUUGAAUCAACAAUUCACUGAUAAAUUAAAUUACAUAUCUGAAUAUAGAUUGAAAUGAAUAAAAGUAAAACCUUGGAUUUGUGACAACUAAAAAACUAAAUAUUGAAUCUCUCUCUCUCUCUCUCCCUCUCCCUCUCCCUCUCCCUCCCUCCCUCCCUCCCUCUCCCUCUCUCUCUCUCUCUCUCUGAAUAUAGAUUGAAAUGAAUAAAAGUAAAACCUUGGAUUUGUGACAACUAAAAAACUAAAUAUUGAAUCUCUCUCUCUCUCUCUCUCCCUCUCCCUCUCCCUCUCCCUCCCUCCCUCCCUCUCCCUCUCUCUCUCUCUCUCUCUGAAUAUAGAUUGAAAUGAAUAAAAGUAAAACCUUGGAUUUGUGACAACUAAAAAACUAAAUAUUGAAGCUCUCUCUCUCUCUCUCUCUCUCUCUCUCCCUCCCUCUCCCUCUCCCUCCCUCCCUCUCUCUCUCUCUGAAUAUAGAUUGAAAUGAAUAAAAGUAAAACUUUGGAUUUGUGACAACUAAAAAACUAACUAUUGAAUCUCUCUCUCUCUCUCUAAGCAUGAUGAUGUGGGAUUCUCAAAUUUCACAAGAUUAUUGAGAGAGUGGUGUUGAGUGGUAAAUUGUUGAACAUUUUGGUAUGUUUCCUUACUGGAGUCAUGGUUGGGCAAAUGCAUGAUGCAGGCAUGGAAUACGACUAGACUAUAUAAUAAUGAAACAGCAGAAAUUUCUUGUCCCAUUUGAAGUCAUAUAUACAGUGAACAAGGCUGCAGAUCUGGCAUGCAUAGAAUAAGAUACCCUUUUCUUCUUGUUUCCAUCUCCAUCUUAUUUUAAGAAAUUGAAGCAUAAGAGAGAUAAUACUUUCUCCACAGCCAACAUAUUCAUAUAUAGAAUUCUUUCCAGGUAUGCAGAAAAGGGUUUGGAGAACCAAGCCAUAUUUUCUCAAUAGAGAAGCAAAGGAUGAACAAUUAUCAUCUGAAAAAUAGUUUGUUGACAGUCGUGUUCCGCGAAAGGGCAAUAGAGACACUUUAGCAUUCUAGAAAGUAGCUUAUAAAUGCAGGCAUUUGGCUACCCUUUUUUUGUGUAUGUAUGGUGUUAUCUCAAUAUAGAACGGAAAUGGUCCAACAUUCACAGCCAUUGAACAUUAUCUUUGAGCACCUACUUGUAUAUUUUCAAGGACAUUAGUCAUGGUAGGAUUGUAUUUUUCAAGGUCAUAGUAGAUGGAAAAAGUCUUUUUUUUCUUUCUCUUUGUGCUUGUUUCUUGAGUUUGAUUCUUAGACAACACUGAACUUGUAAUGACUUUCCAUCUCCUAUGCUCUAACGUCUUAGCAUGGUCAACUUUGUCCGCCGUAGAUGUAAUGUCACUGCCUAAUCUUUAAGACCUUUGUUUCAGGACUCUCUCUCUCUCUCUCUCUCUCUUUCUCUCUCUGUAUGUAUGUUAGAUGAGGUUUAUGAACUUGGACUGCAUUGAAUAACAAGUUUGAUUUUUCUGUUUAGCUUGGCUUGGUGGAGUUUGUUACCCUCUUUUGUUGGGAAGCUUCAUUUGGCUACACUCCACACAAUCUUUCUAAAUUCUUAGAUAGCCCAUGUAGCCAAAAACGUCAUUUAUUUGGUUCGCACAUCUCUUCUAGGGUUUUUAUACCUUAAUUAUACAUGAAGAACACCACAUGGUUGGGGUGUUCCUUCCAGGGAUUUGUUACAUUCCAUUAAUGAGACUCUUCCCAUGAGCCCUAGCUAGGUCCUCCUCUUCAACUUGGCAUUAUAUUGAGUCACGUGGGCACUUCCCCAUGGGGACUCAAAGAGCAAGCCAUAGGCUGUAAUGCAGAAAGAGCCCAUGAAAAAGGAAAAAGUAGUAUAGUACUCUUUGUUUUUAUGUAUACAUCUAUGCUUAUGUCAUAUUCCUCAGGACAAGGAUGUUGCUAAAGACAUUGUUUUCCUCUCAUUCAAGAUAGGUGAUCGGACAUUUUCAUUGACUGGAAGCAAUCAGAACAGCUAGGACAACAAUCUUUUUCUGUUUGUAAUAUUUUUUGUAUAUAAAUUUUUUCAUAGGUGUAACUGUGUAAGGUAAAAUUGCUGAAAUACCCAUCAAUGAAAUGAUUUGAAUAACUCAAAUGAGGAUGUCAGCAGCAUGAAUACAGUACUGUUGGGCCACAAGAACAACAGUAUAUGAAGGAAAAAUGAAGGUGGGUUUCCCUUACUAUGGCAAUUUUCCCUAAUUAAGCUAGCCAUUCACUAAAUGAAUUCAAUAAAUUUUGCAAUUCAGUAUAUAACAAAAAAAAAAAAAAAAAAAACAAAACAAAAGAAGAAGAAAGAAAGAAAGAAAGAAAUAAAGAAAAAGUUAUGUAUGAACUAGCUAGGUUGUGUUCAUCUUCAUGCACUGUUUGGCAGUCUUACCAUAUAUUUAAAACCGAAGAUUAGUAUAUAUAGUGUAGCAAAAUGACCACCUCUUGGUAAGGCCAUGCUGCUAAGCCCUGAGAAAGAGAUCAGUAUGGAGGAUUAGGAGUUCAAGGAGGAGAGAAAACUGUAGCAUCAAUGUCCUUGCGAUAAGCACAGUUUAAUGAGUAUCUAUGUUGCUAGGCCCCAAGAGAGUCAUCAAUAUAUGUACCAUCAAUGUUACACGUGAGUUAGGCAAAGACCUAGAAGAGCCUUAUUAAUUUUGAGAUCGAGUCUGUGUUCAUGAUUUUUGUACAUAUGUAGGGUCCUUGAUAUGAUAUGAUAUGAAAUAAUGAGGUCUGGCUAGCCUUUAAGAUUGAUUGUCACUUGUUUGAUAUUAGUACAAGUAUAAUUUUCAAAGAAAUUUGGUCAAAAAGGUUAUUGACUCAAUUGAUAUAUAGACACAUAUAUUCAUGGGUAGGUACUACCCCCCAUUUGUGUUUGGAUGGAUUCUAAUCGGAUUCCGAUUUGGUCAAUUUGUCUUAUCAAUUCAUUGCAAGACAUUGUAUCUUGCAACACAAAGAAGUAGCCAACAAUCCCUAUAUCUCAAAUUGAAGCCGAUGAAUACUCUACAGGCUUGCUAUCUUAUAUUCUUAUUGACUUUGGUUUCUACGUGGUCCCUUUUUCACCUAUUUAGAUAUACCUCGAAAAGCUUUUAAAAACAAUUUU